rnacentral:rRNA from 1 species
CAAUAGCGUAUAUUAAAGUUGUUGCAGUUAAAAAGCUCGUAGUUGAAUUUCUGUCAGGAGUGACCGGGCCUUUGGAUGAACUUCCAUUGUUUUUUGCUCUGUUUGUCAUCUCUAGACAUCCUGAAAUAUUUUUUAAAAAUAUUUCUCUUUUACUGUUAGCAAAAUAGAGUGUUCCAAGCAAAGCGUAGUUUUGAAUACAUUAGAAUGGAAUAAUAAGAUGGGACUUUGGUGCUAUUUUGUUGGUUUGCACACCAAGGUAAUGAUUAAUAGGGACAGUUGGGGGUAUUCGUAUUUAAUUGUCAGAGGUGAAAUUCUUGGAUUUAUGAAAGACGAACUACUGCGAAAGCAUUUACCAAGGAUGUUUUCAUUAA